AUUGAACGCUGGCGGCAUGCCUUGCACAUGCAAGUCGAACGGCAGCACGGGGCAACCUGGUGGCGAGUGGCGAACGGGUGAGUAAUACAUCGGAACGUGCCCAGACGUGGGGGAUAACUACUCGAAAGAGUAGCUAAUACCGCAUAUGAUCUAAGGAUGAAAGCGGGGGAUCGCAAGACCUCGCGCGUUUGGAGCGGCCGAUGGCAGAUUAGGUAGUUGGUGGGGUAAAGGCUUACCAAGCCUGCGAUCUGUAGCUGGUCUGAGAGGACGACCAGCCAAACUGGGACUGGGACACGGCCCAGACUCCUACGGGAGGCAGCAGUGGGGAAUUUUGGACAAUGGGCGAAAGCCUGAUCCAGCCAUUCCGCGUGCAGGAUGAAGGCCCUCGGGUUGUAAACUGCUUUUGUACAGAACGAAAAAGCUCUGGUUAAUACCUGGAGUCCAUGACGGUACUGUAAGAAUAAGCACCGGCUAACUACGUGCCAGCAGCCGCCGUAA
rnacentral:rRNA from 1 species